rnacentral:rRNA from 1 species
UACGUAGGGGGCUAGCGUUGUCCGGAAUCAUUGGGCGUAAAGCGCGCGUAGGCGGCCCGGUAAGUCCGCUGUGAAAGUCCAGGGCUCAACCCUGGAAAGUCGGUGGAUACUGCCGGGCUAGAGUCCGGAAGAGGCGAGUGGAAUUCCGUGGUGUAGCGGUGGAAUGCGCAGAUAUCAGGAGGAACACCAAUAGCGAAGGCAGCUCGCUGGGACGGUACUGACGCUGAGGUGCGAAAGCGUGGGGGAGCGAACAGG